CGGUAGGCGGACGGGUGGGUAACGCGUGGGUAACCUGCCUCAUACAGGGGGAUAACGGUUAGAAAUGACUGCUAAUACCGCAUAAGCGCACAGUACCGCAUGGUACGGUGUGAAAAACUCCGGUGGUAUGAGAUGGACCCGCGUCUGAUUAGCUAGUUGGUGGGGUAACGGCCCACCAAGGCGACGAUCAGUAGCCGACCUGAGAGGGUGACCGGCCACAUUGGGACUGAGACACGGCCCAG
rnacentral:rRNA from 1 species